GGUUCCCUUGAGCAAGGCACUGAGCCCCCAACUGCUUGCUGGGUGCUGCAGCAUAAAUUAAACACUAUACAGGCUUAUAAGGGAGUGACAAUAAGUGCACAAAUCAUUUCAGUUAACAUUUUUUUUUUUUUUUAAUGUAGAACUGUAUGCCAGUUCUCCACUUGCUCUUUGUACAAAAGAGGAGUAUCUGUAUCAAUAGGACAAAUAAAGCUGUGUGAACUUCAGACCAUGAUCUUCUCUUCAGUUCUACUUCUGCUGGCAGCAGCUGCAUCAUGUGGUGUUUUCUGUGUUGAGCUCACUCAACCUUCAUCUAUGGUUGUGAAA